GUGGAUUCAGUGGGUGUGUGGAUCCUUUUCUUUUUCGAUUGGAGGAGCAAACCACCUCCAUCAGCUGUUUCUCACUCUUCCAAUUUGAAUUUAGCGCCCUUUUCGGCAAGAACCGGAAAUCGUCAUCAUCGCUGAAACCGGAAGUUGCAUCACGGAUACAUCCGCGUUCCAAUAUGCGUUCCAGCGGUAUUAUCUCCAUAGCAACCAGACGUAAUCGUCUCGGC